rnacentral:rRNA from 1 species
CCUACGGGAGGCAGCAGUGGGGAAUUUUGGACAAUGGACGCAAGUCUGAUCCAGCCAUGCCGCGUGCGGGAAGAAGGCCUUCGGGUUGUAAACCGCUUUUGUCAGGGAAGAAAAGGUUCUGGUUAAUACCUGGGACUCAUGACGGUACCUGAAGAAUAAGCACCGGCUAACUACGUGCCAGCAGCCGCGGUAAUACGUAGGGUGCAAGCGUUAAUCGGAAUUACUGGGCGUAAAGCGUGCGCAGGCGGUUAUGCAAGACAGAGGUGAAAUCCCCGGGCUCAACCUGGGAACUGCCUUUGUGACUGCAUAGCUAGAGUACGGUAGAGGGGGAUGGAAUUCCGCGUGUAGCAGUGAAAUGCGUAGAUAUGCGGAGGAACACCGAUGGCGAAGGCAAUCCCCUGGACCUGUACUGACGCUCAUGCACGAAAGCGUGGGGAGCAAACAGGAUUAGAUACCCUGGUAGUCCACGCCCUAAACGAUGUCAACUGGUUGUUGGGAGGGUUUCUUCUCAGUAACGUAGCUAACGCGUGAAGUUGACCGCCUGGGGAGUACGGCCGCAAGGUUGAAACUCAAAGGAUUGACGG